AUUGUGCGCCGCCCUAUGGGACUCCCAAUCACGGCCGGAUGUGAUACAGCCUGGAUUCGAACUAGGUACUAGUGACGCCUCUUGCACUGAGAUGCAGUGAUGCCCGGUAUAUGAUUGCGGCAAGUGUCCACACUGCUAAAAGAGGUUCAUCGAGCUGCGACAGUUCACUCAGCAGCUGAGUAAUAUUCACCCCAACGUUCUGGCCAAGCACCUUCAAAGAGGUCUGAUUCUCCCACAUCCAGAGCUCGCUGUCAUCAAUAAGCCAUAUGGAGCUUCUGUUCAAGGUAUUGGGUGUUGAGGCAAUGUAUUUACAUGCCUAUUACAUUAUGGUACAUAAGGCUUAUAUGGUCAAACACACAGUCAAGGAUUAUAUCAUGAAAGAGAUUGUUCAUUUGAAUGUCACUUGUAAAAAAUACAUCUUAAUACCCAGAGGUGUUUUCAAAAAUCACUGUGAUUUAAAUCCAAUAAUCUUCCCCCUAAAUGGGUCAAAGGAAUAUCAUGGACAUCUUCCAGUCCUUGCCAAGGUGAUGGAUGGCAUUGAGGGCUGAGCCCCACUCCCAGCUGAAAGUCCGCCUUGGAUUGGACAAGGAGACAACAGGGGCCCUCUUGCUGGCAAGGAUUGAUGAAGCACCGGACUAUGUACAAAACCUCCACAAAAAAACACCAAGUGGAGAGGAAAUAUUGGUGUAUGGAUGUCUGUGUGUUUAGAGAUUUAGUUUAAGAUAAGGAUCCAGGCAGCUCAUCAUAUGACAGAGUUUUUGUAAUGACCCUGCCGUUGACAACUAGCUCCCUAGUUUUCUUGGAGCAGCGGUGAUGUGUCUGGCCCUGGACCCAAGGGUUAUUGGGCUCGAUUCACACCUCAAAUCAAACUUUAUUGGUUGCAUACACAUAGCAGAUGUUAUUGCGGGUGUAGUGAAAUGCUCGUGUUCCGAGCUCCGACAGUGCAGUAGUAUCUAACAAGCAGUGACGUAGCCUCUGAACCUCAUGCUACUUCCUGGUUACAUUACACUUUCAGUCAUCUUCCUUUUUCCCUAUUCCCCCAUGCAGCAUUGCUGCUGUGGCCUGUUCCCUAUGAGGGGAUGACUUGACAACCCUCAUAGAGAGAAUUCACCUGGGCUCAGGCUCAUUUCAAGAUAGGCCUGAGUCCUGUGUACAGAGGGAGUGACUAACGUGCAGGCCCAGGGGGCAGUGUCCCAGUACGCGUCCUGGACAGCAGCAAUGGCUGCAGCCUUGUGGAGCUCCAGCCCAUCACAGGGGUGAGGAUCCAUAUGGCAUACGUUCUGGGAUGUCAUAUUCUUGGGGACCACAAAUACUCCCACUGGACAAAAACUUCCACCUUAGAAACUGCUGGACGGUUUGUUACCGAGGCUGGGAUUGGAACAAAGCAAGGCACGUUGCCUUCUUCCCUAACCCUGCACACACAUCAGCUGACACUGCCAGUGAUAUCACUGUGUCCUGCCCUGCUGAAGUACUUCACCACCAGCACCCUGCGAUGACUGCAGAUCCCCAUUCCAGGGGGAUGAAUGAUGCAUCAGCGGCUCCUCUGCAGAGCAGACAGAAGACUCUUUUAAAAUCAGAAAUACGGAGCGGCAUCACUUCAAGUGACCCUUGACCUAAUGGUUGUCCCAAGUCCAAGAGCUAAGGCCUGACUGAAAUUCUUAAAAAGCCACACACUCUCUCAUUCACAGUACAAAGGCACGUUUGAAAAAAAACAGACUUUCUUAUUUAGCCUCCAACACCACUAGAAUAUCAAUACAUACAGGAGAUCAUAAAUGGCAAUAAAAAUACAUGUUAAAAAAAAAGUGAGCAGAGUUCCCAUUAAAUGUCUGUUGGUGUGUAAUCCACUCUGCUCUUGGCUCCUGUCCUGUCUGGGACCUGAGAGCUUGGAGGACAAGAGGCACAGGAGAGUCCCUGUGAGGGCUAACAUGUUAUAGGGGGUACAUUUCCAUAUACAUUCCCCUACGUAUUUAUUUGGACAGUGAAGCUAAAAUAUGUACAUUUGGCCCUAUACUCUAGCAUCUUGGAUGACAUCAAAUGUUAUGAGGCGACAGUACAGAAUGCCACCUUUUAUUUGAAGGUAUUUUCAUACUUGACUACAAACUUGGAUGCAUUUGCAGUUUGGUUGUGUUUCAGAUUAUGUUUUGCCCAAUAGGAAUGGUGAAUAAUGUAUUGUGUCAUUUGAGUCACCUUUUAUUGUUAAGUAAGAAUAAAAUAUGUUUCUGAACAGUACAUUGUGGAUGCUACCAAGAUUAUGGAUAAUCAUGACCGAAUCCUGAAUAAUGAGUGAACGAUGCUCCUCAACAACAAAAAUGCCAACCUCUGUCAUUUGUCAUGGUGAGAGGUUAAAAUGUCUUGGGGGUAUGAUCUUUGUACCUUCUCACUCAUUAUCCACAAUUCAUUCAUGAUUAUCCAUAAUCAUGGUAGCAGCCACAUUAAUGUAGAAGUGUUCAGAAACAUAAGCUUAUUUACAAUAAAAGUGACACAAAUGUCACAAUACAUUUACCAUUCAUUUCUAUUGCGAACAACAAUCUGAAAACGCAGCCAAAACAAACCGCAAAAGCAUCCAAGAAGUUUGUAGUCACUUGAUGUAGUCAUUGCAUGCUAGGAAUGUGACCAAAUACUACAAUUUUGAAUACUUUAAUACUACAAGUGAAUUUGUCAAAAUACUUAUGACACCUUCAAAAAUGGGGGGACUAGAUACAUAGUGCUUUCAUUUCUAAACAGUAAAACAUAUGAAAAUACAAUCAAAUGAAACAUUUCAUCUCAAAUCCAAAAUGCUGGAAUACAGAGCCAAAUUAAUCAUUUUUGGUUAAUCAUUAUCCAACUAAAUACAUAGGGAAGUGUACAGCACCUUCAGAAAGUAUUCACACCCCUUGACUUUUUCCACAUUGUAACACAAUCUGAAUUUAAAAUUAUUACAUUGAGAUUUGUCACUGGCCUACACACAAUUUCAAAGUAGAAUUAUGUUUUUAUAAACUUUUACAAAUGUAUGAAAAUCAGAAAUAUCUUGAGUCAAUAAGCAUUCAACCCAUUUGUUAUGGCUUACCAAGAAGACAGUGAUGGUUACCGAAUGUCCGAGUUACAGUUUGGACUUAAAUCUACUUGAAAAUCUAUGGCAAGACCUGAAAAUGGCUGUCCAGCAAUUUGACAGAGCUGGAAUAAUUUUGAAAAGUAUAAUCGACAAAUGUUGCACAAUCCAGGUGUGGAAAGCUCUUAAAGACUUGAAGCCAAAUUAUGCUUGAUCCGAAAAUGUGGUCAGAGGGUUUGAUGCUAAAGCGGAGUCUCCUGAGGCGUGCAGAGGCCAAAUCAAGCUCCGCACUGCAUCGCUAUGCACCUCUCAAAAUGUUUUAACAAUGCAGAGGGCUCUGUAUAGCUCCGCAUUGACAUGACUGAUUUGACGGUAGGUGGGGGCGAGAGGUCCUGUAUAAACAAACUCACUUCCUUGACAACAGCUCAGCGCAAAAAAUAUGUUUGCUCUGACUUCUGCGGAGGCCGCGUCGCAGUAAAUGCUGUAUGGCUUGACCAUGCAGCGCCUUUUACCCAGAAAGACUCUCAGCUGUAAUCGCUGUCAAAGGUGCCUAGACAAAGUAUUGACUCAGGUGUGAAUAC